GUAACUAGUAAGAAAGAUUCUGUAGUUGGAACUAACUACCAAUUUUGUUUGUUGAUUAGAGGCAAGCCAGAAAAGAAUCCAGUUCACACUCCUGUAGCUGUGCUGGCUUGGCUGGACUGCUGGGACUGAAAGGAAAAUAACUAAGAAGUACAAAUGCAAAAUGUGAUUUAAAUUAUUGAUUUAAAUCAAUACACCGUGGCUCUCAUCAGCUGUUAGAGUUUAAUGGACCCCUCUUCUCUUCCCUGCCAUGUGGUCUUGGUGUGUGUAGGGGUGGAAACUGCAAUGAGGAGCCAGUCAGCGACUCCAGCAGUGAGAUAUAGGAUGUUAUUUG